rnacentral:rRNA from 1 species
CAGUAGCCGCGGUAAUACAGAGGGUGCAAGCGUUAAUCGGAAUUACUGGGCGUAAAGCGCGCGUAGGUGGUUUGUUAAGUUGGAUGUGAAAUCCCCGGGCUCAACCUGGGAACUGCAUCCAAAACUGGCAAGCUAGAGUAUGGUAGAGGGUGGUGGAAUUUCCUGUGUAGCGGUGAAAUGCGUAGAUAUAGGAAGGAACACCAGUGGCGAAGGCGACCACCUGGACUGAUACUGACACUGAGGUGCGAAAGCGUGGGGAGCAAAUGGGAUUAGAUACCCGGGUAGUCCCUGUCUCUUAUAC